ACAUGCCCAAGAAUGUGCAGAGGUAGGUGUGGUCUCUCCCCAGGAAGGCAGGCACCAGGUGCUCCACUCGCUGUUCCAAUAGCAUCCAGCCUCCUUCGAUGCUCUAUUCCUAGAGAAAGGGAGA